rnacentral:rRNA from 1 species
AUUGAACGCUGGCGGCAGGCCUAACACAUGCAAGUCGAGCGGAGCGGCGGACGGGCGAGUAAUGCCUAGGAAUGUGACUGGCCGUGGGGGAUAACGUACGGCAACGGGCGAUAAUACAUCAUACUAGCAGUCGAGCAUAGGUCGGAUUAGCUGGUUGGUGGGUUAAAGGACUACAAAGGCGCCGAUCCGUAGCUGGUCUGAGAGGAGGAUCAGACACACUGGAACUGAGACACGGCCCAGACUCCUACGGGAGGCAGCAGUGGGGAAUAUUGCACAAUGGGCGAAAGCCUGAUGCAGCCAUGCCGCGUGUGUGAAGAAGGUCCUCGGAUUGUAAAGCACUGUCAGUUGGGAGGCGUUACCGACAGAAGAAGCACCGGCUAACUUCGUGCCAGCAGCCGCGGUAAUAC